AAUUACAAAUUCAAACUUAAUUACCCAAGUAAACUUGCGUUUCCAGGUAUUGAUGAAAUUCCUGUGCUUGAAUUGCCCAUAGCAUCCCCUGUGCUUGUCUACAUAGACCAAAAAGACACUGUUAAUCCAACAUCUGAAGAGAAGAGAAGGGAGGGAAAUGGGAAAGGAAUUACCACUUGAUAUCAAUGAACUUCAUGGCAAGACAAGAAGUAAAUAUAUUAUCAUACGUCAAGCAAGCAUAUUUUAAGGCUAACAAUAAGAAUGAACAGAAGUCAAGAACCACCUAGCAUAGGUAUAUAAAUGUUACACUAGGUGAUGCAUUUCAAACUACAAGAGAAAUUGAGGCUUUUUCCAAGAAUCCACUUCAUUAAAACCAGAGAUGAAAUACUUCAAUUCAAAAUUUGAGGAUGAUUCAGAUAAUGCAUCUGAUAUAAAGAUCUGUUGUUGAAAAAGCAGCUUCUCAAGGAGGUCUUCUGGGGAAUCGAGGUAAAAAGAUACAUCUCUAGUGACAAGAAACUAUUUAUAAAACAGCAUGUAUCACAUGGACAGAAUCUAUUUUUAUUCAGAGAAAGAAAUAGGAUUAUGCUAUGAAUUAGUCAACUUAAGUCUAGAACUUCACAUGAACUCAGUAUUUAUAAUUCUGCAGAUAAUUUUCACCACCACGUAGAAAGAAAAGUCAAGAAAAAUCAUUUACACACCUUCUCAUGAUAUUGUUUCACUAUUUGUAAAAAUUGGUCAACAGCUUGGCAUGCCUUUGAUCGAACAUCACUGUGCCAAUUAAAGGAGAGUGACUCAAAAAAACAUGUACUUGCUAAAACACUAAUAGAAUGAGUUGCUCAUUAAUCACAGAAAUAAGGUGCACAUGAAACCAAAACAACAUAAAUACAGGUGUAAGAAACCAAACUACCAAGGACAUAAUGCCACAGCAUUACAGGCACAAGAAACCAUUAAAAACAGGGAAAUAAGAAGAAUGAAAAAAUAUAUCCAGCAUUCAGCCCCCACGGAUGCAAGUCCUCAGGCCCAAAUCUCAGCCAAGUGAUAAUAAAUUUUCCAACGAUGAGGUAAACAAAAAUAUAGUUUCCAGUAAUCCAAAUUUGGGAGAGGUGCAAGUACACUGUACUGGCAUGCCGUAUUUUCUGUGAACAUCAACAGGAUGCAUCAUAUUGAGAAAAAAAUAUAUAUAGUGCUUGCUUGGCUAAAGUUUUUAAGUGCUUAUAAGCAGUGGGUCCCAUGAAAUGUGUGGUUAAAAAGUAGGUGAAUAAAAAUAAAGUUUGACUAGCUUAUAAGCAAUUAUAAGCUUUGCCAACAUGCACUUAGUUUUUAGAACAGUCAGAAGUGCAGUCAGGUGGUAUUUUUGUCAUUUCCAUGAGACAUUGGUUAUAUCUUAAUAAUUGAGGCCCAGCUCAUAACUAAAUCAAUCAACUGUGGAAUUAUAGUUAUCACGAAAAGGAAUAAGAUUGUAAUGAGGGCAGCCACCAUUAUUUUCAGUAAGCACA
rnacentral:lncRNA from 1 species